CAAUCACUUGUCUUUUAAAUGGAGACCUGUAUGAAUGGCACAACGAGGGCUUAACUGUCUCCUCUUUCAAGUCAAUGAAAUUGAUCUCCCCGUGCAGAAGCGGGGAUAAAAACAUAAGACGAGAAGACCCUAUGAAGCUUCAGAUGUAAAGCAGAUCAUGUUAAACACUCCUUGUUAAGGGACAAAACCAAGUGAAACCUGCUCUAAUGUCUUUGGUUGGGGCGACCGCGGGGAAACAAAAAACCCCCACGUGGAAAGGGAGCACCCCUCCUACAACUAAGAGCUCCUGCUCUAGUUAACAGAAUUUCUGACCAAUAAGAUCCGGCAACGCCGAUCAACGGACCGAGUUACUCUAGGGAUAACAGCGCAAUCCCCUUUUAGAGCCCA
rnacentral:rRNA from 1 species